rnacentral:lncRNA from 1 species
CUCCAUAGUGGCUGAACCAGUUUACAAUCCCAACAACAGUGCACAAUAGUUCCUUUCCUCCACAUCCUCACCAACACCUGUUAGCUCUUGUCUUCUUAUGACAGCCGUUCGUACAGGCAUGAGGUGACAGCUCAUUGUGGAUUUGGUUUGCACUUCCCUGAUGAUUAGUGAUGCUUCUUGCAGGGCCUAUUCUACCCGAUGUGGCAAAAGUGGGCACCAACUCACGCUGCUUUGUUACUGCAGUGCAUGGCUGGAAGCUUGGGUCUACACUGGGCCACCCUAACACCAGGCCAGGACGGUUCUGUUGUAAACCAGUGACUUCCUUCUAAUGGCUCAGACAGUCAUGAGCAAACGUGACAUGAAAGGCCAGCACAAGAGCUCAGGACCAUAAGCUCCAUCAGUGGACAUGGUCUGUCUGAUGCACUUACCAGGAGGGGAAUACUAUCCAGGAUGGAACACCAAGGAAACCUCUGAAUUGCUGAAAAUGUAAAAAGAAUCCUGAUACUUUAAAUGAUGUCUAAAAUGGUUUUGUUAAGUCGAAAAACACCAGCUGAGAUUUUGAUUUGCAACUCAUCUUGGGUUGGGCUCCUCAGGAAAUGGACAUCGAGAUGAAGAUUUGCAGGCAGGUAACGUUUGGAGAGUUGAAAUAGCUUCAGCCAUUGCUGUGAAGUCUCCACAAUUCUUUGAAGAAAGUUACUCUUCAAACCGCAACUGCUGUUCAAUAAAAAGAAAAGAUGCUGUGGUCAUGGUGUUUGUGCAAUAUUUCUGCAGUAUCAACUUUUGAUUCAGGAAGAGGGGGGAAAAACCUUUAGUUUCCCCAAGGAAAGUCUGUACCAAUCUAUUAAAUGAAUUGAACUUUGUACCUAUUGGAGAG